rnacentral:rRNA from 1 species
UUGAACGAACAUUUGGGGCUUGCUCCAAAUAGUGAGUGGCAAACGGGUGAGUAACACGUGGGAAUCUACCCAUCAGUACGGAAUAGCAUUUGGAAACAGAUGAUAAUACCGUAUAUUCUCGUAAGAGGAAAGAUUUAUCGCUGAUGGAUGAGCCCGCGCCUGAUUAGGUAGUUGGUGGGGUAAUGGCCUACCAAGCCUUCGAUCAGUAGCUGGUCUGAGAGGAUGAUCAGCCACACUGGGACUGAGACACGGCCCAGACUCC